AAUUGUGUUUGUAGUUUAUCAUAAACGUUCUGAUAUUUGGGGGGAGCUAGAUGACUCAGGGGAUUAGGAAUGGGACUUGGAGGCUUCCAACUUGUAAUUGAGACCAACCCAAGUUCAUGGGGAUCAGAAAUGGUUACCAGGUGCAGACUGUUCAGUGGCCUUUAAUCUAACUAACCGGUUCCAAGGGAGAGAAAUCCAUUUAGAACAGUCCUUAACUAUCUGCCUGCAAGCUAAAAUGCGGUGUGAGAGAAGAGGAGAAGCAGAAACAGUGGAGCUGAUUAUAC